rnacentral:rRNA from 1 species
UACGGAGGGUGCGAGCGUUGUUCGGAAUCACUGGGCGUAAAGCGCGUGUAGGCGGCCCAUUAAGUCUGAUGUGAAAGCCCGGGGCUCACUCCCGGAAGUGCAUUGGAAACUGAUGGACUCGAGUCCCGGAGAGGAGAGUGGAAUUCCUGGUGUAGCGGUGAAAUGCGUAGAUAUCAGGAGGAACACCGGUGGCGAAGGCGGCUCUCUGGACGGUGACUGACGCUGAGACGCGAAAGCGUGGGGAGCAAACAGG